rnacentral:lncRNA from 1 species
UUAAGGUCAUAGUGUCCAACACCUGCCUCGACUCAAUUAUUCAAGUUCUUCUAAUCCAUUUAUGUGAUUUUUGAUUGUGUAUGUUUGUAAGCAUGAGUUAAUUUUGAAGCAUGAAUUGAAUGAUUAUUUCUGAAUUUCUUUGUGACUAAAACAUAGCAAUUAUACCCAUUUUGUCCAAUAGCUUUUUGAUGUCUGUAGUUUGUACAGAAAUAGCCAUUUAUUCUUCUAUAUAGGCAGAGUCCAUAAAUUUUCUUUUGAUGUUCCAUCUGUAUUUUAU